UACGAAGGGGGCUAGCGUUGCUCGGAAUCACUGGGCGUAAAGCGCCCGUAGGCGGAUUGUUAAGUCAGGGGUGAAAUCCUGGAGCUCAACUCCAGAACUGCCUUUGAUACUGAAGAUCUUGAGUUCGGGAGAGGUGAGUGGAACUGCGAGUGUAGAGGUGAAAUUCGUAGAUAUUCGCAAGAACACCAGUGGCGAAGGCGGCUCACUGGCCCGAUACUGACGCUGAGGCACGAAAGCGUGGGGAGCAAACAGG
rnacentral:rRNA from 1 species